rnacentral:rRNA from 1 species
UGCCAGCCGCCGCGGUAAUACGGAGGGUGCGAGCGUUAAUCGGAAUUACUGGGCGUAAAGGGCGCGUAGGCGGUUCUAUCAGUCAGAUGUGAAAGCCCAGGGCUUAACCUUGGAAUUGCAUUUGAUACUGUCGGGCUUGAGUGUGGUAGAGGAAAGCGGAAUUCCGGGUGUAGCGGUGAAAUCCGUAGAUAUUCGGAGGAACACCAGUGGCGAAGGCGGCUUUCUGGACCGAUACUGACGCUGAGACGCGAAAGCGUGGGGAGCAAACAGGAUUAGAUA